rnacentral:rRNA from 1 species
GACGUAGGUGGCGAACGUUAUCCGGAAUUAUUGGGCGUAAAGGGUGCGUAGAUGGCUUGAUAAGUUAGCAGUGGGAAAUCGAGGCUCAACCUCGUGGAAGCCGGUAAUACUGUCAGGCUUGAGUGCAGGAGAGGUUAACGGAACUCCAUGUGGAGCGGUAAAAUGUGUAGAUAUAUGGAAGAACACCAAUCACGGCGAAGGCAGUUAACUAUUCUGUUACUGACAUUGAGGCACGAAAGCGUGGGGAGCAAAACGG